ACGCCUCUAAGUCAGAAUCCAUGCCAGAACGGGGUGAUUUCCGCCUGCACCAGUCGGAUACGAAUAGGCCUUUGGCCCAGAACCUUACCAGGCCGGCGUUGGCAGUCUCAUUGAAAUUGGGGCUGCUAGCCGGCGUAUUGCAAUUGUACAGUGCGCAGGAUUGAAUCCUUUGCAGACGACUUAGUUGUCUAGCCGGGUCGUGUAAGUAGUC
rnacentral:rRNA from 1 species